rnacentral:rRNA from 1 species
AUCGCUAUGGUUAGGAGAUUUGAUCCUGGCUCAGUAUCUGAACGCUAGGCGGAGCAGAGCCUAACACAUGCAAGUCGAGCGGAUGAGUGGAGCUUGCUCCCUGAUUCAGCGGCGGACGGGUGAGUAAUGCCUAGGAAUCUGCCUGGUAGUGGGGGAUAACGUUUCGAAAGGAACGCUAAUACCGCAUACGUCCUACGGGAGAAAGUGGGGGAUCUUCGGACCUCACGCUAUCAGAUGAGCCUAGGUCGGAUUAGCUAGUUGGUGGGGUAAUGGCCCACCAAGGCGACGAUCCGUAACUGGUCUGAGAGGAUGAUCAGUCACACUGGAACUGAGACACGGUCCAGACUCCUACGGGAGGCAGCAGUGGGGAAUAUUGGACAAUGGGCGAAAGCCUGAUCCAGCCAUGCCGCGUGUGUGAAGAAGGUCUUCGGAUUGUAAAGCACUUUAAGUUGGGAGGAAGGGCAGUAAGUUAAUACCUUGCUGUUUUGACGUUACCAACAGAAUAAGCACCGGCUAACUUCGUGCCAGCAGCCGCGGUAAUACGAAGGGUGCAAGCGUUAAUCGGAAUUACUGGGCGUAAAGCGCGCGUAGGUGGUUCAGCAAGUUGGAUGUGAAAGCCCCGGGCUCAACCUGGGAUUGCAUCCAAAACUACUGAGCUAGAGUACGGUAGAGGGUGGUGGAUUUCCUGU